ACGUCUUUUUGUAUGUUCGUCAGGUCUUCUUCAAUUUCAUUGGAGGGAUUUUCGCUGACGCUGAAAGAGUCUGAAAACAGCCAAGCCUGUCUGAUGCAACCAUUACACUAAAAUGGAUUGUAAAUGUUUUCUCUUCGGAAACCUUCAAUGUCGCAACUCUGAUUGUUGCGGGGUCGAGGUUGGAGGCAACCGAGGGACAGAAUGUUACAAUAUCCUUCGACAUCGAUGAAGUGGAGAGAGCCGAUCAAGUGAAGAUUGCCUUUAAACAAGACGACAAGGAAAAUGCAGUUGUUGUUGCUCAGCAGCCUUGGACCUAUGAUGAAACUCCUCCAGCUGGAGUUUCACUGCUGGUCGAGGAAAGACGCGUGUCUGUAACUAUUCAACAUGUCAGCAUCUCCAGAAACUCUGGAGUCUACACAGCGAGAGCCUUCUUUGGAAAGAAGUUGUCUGAGGUGAAUGCUGUGCUUGUCAUCAACAUACCACAGUCUUCCUCCAGUCCAGCGCCACCGCACACCUCCACCCCAAAACCUCCCAGCUCAUCUGAGCUCCAAUGGCCGUAUGUAGUAAUUCCAGUCGUCAUUAUCAUCAUCAUCAUCAUCAUCAUCAUCAUCAUCAUCAUCAUCAGGAGGGCAAGUAUUACUUAUAUUUAUGCUUUUAGUGGUGGAUAGGAGCAGCGCUGUGGGUCUAAUGAUCUGUAAAGCAGUAUAUAAUAUAAUAAGAUGUUAAUAUUAAAGUUAUUAUAAAGUGAUGCCCAGCAGAGAAUCGAUAUGCAUCUUUAUUUCUUAUACACACAUUUGACCACAUAAUGCAUUUUUACAGUUUUUGAUGGUAAAUGUUAGUUACAUCAUUUAAAAUAAAUGCUUCGAUUCUUUUCAGCAUUUUAGGGUUUUAUCGAUUAUCCUUUCUUAAAAUGCCAGUACACACAAUAGUGGUGCUGAAACUGAUUCCCAUCACGAUUGAUGCUUAUUUGAUCUUAAAUCUGGUAUUUCACAUGAUAUUUGGUCUCAUAUUUCUCACUGUGGUUGUGCUGAACGCAGGGUUCUUACAGACCUGGAAACCUGGGAAUCUUAGAGUGAUUUCCAGGCCUGAAACGUCAUGGAUAUUUAUAAAGUCUUCCUACAGACACAAUGCAUUUUAAUAGUUAUACUUAGUUCUAAAUUACUUCUAGCUAGCAAAACUGUGAUCAGAUCACCUGAAAAUGAUCUUAAUAACAAUUGGGUCAAGGAGUUUGAGCAAGUCAGUGCUCUGUACAGAUUUUUGAUGUUGGUGAAUGUGUUCAUUUUUAUUGUCUACAAUUUUGUAAAAUUGCCAGAACAUAUGAUCAACAACAGUAGCUGUGUUUACAUGGACCUUAAUAAUCGGAUUGUAAUCAGACUUGUAGCACAGUCGGUAUAAAAAAAGUAAAAUGUAACCACGUCUUUCGGAAUUAAUUGUCAAAAUCCAAUUUUAUUCAGAUUGUAAAGGGGCGGUUGAAACCUUUGAUGUAAACACUAAACUACAUGUAAACACUUGUUCAGAUUGAAACCUGAAACUGGAAAGGACUGAUGGUGUUAUGACACAUGAUUCGUGGAAUGAGCUUUUGUGGUUGAAUAAGUGUCAUAAAUGACUGUCUUGUCAUUAUAAAAUGCUCAUUCAGUCUGUGAAGUGGAGCAGGACAAUGUCAUCCCACCAAUCCUUGUUUCACACUCUCAUUCACAGACGGCUGGUUUUGGGUGCAGGAAUGGGCAUUUUUACUGCUUGAUAAAUAUAAGCAGCACGGCACAGCAGUUCAUGUGCUCGUCAUCUCCUAAUUAGGACCUGAAAUAAACAAAGAUAAAUACUUAG